AUUGAACGCUGGCGGCAUGCUUUACACAUGCAAGUCGAACGGUAACAGGCCGCAAGGUGCUGACGAGUGGCGAACGGGUGAGUAAUGCAUCGGAACGUGCCCAGUCGUGGGGGAUAACGCAGCGAAAGCUGCGCUAAUACCGCAUACGAUCUAUGGAUGAAAGCGGGGAACCGUAAGGCCUCGCGCGAUUGGAGCGGCCGAUGUCAGAUUAGGUAGUUGGUGGGGUAAAGGCUCACCAAGCCAACGAUCUGUAGCUGGUCUGAGAGGACGACCAGCCACACUGGGACUGAGACACGGCCCAGAGUCCUACGGGAGGCAGCAGUGGGGAAUUUUGGACAAUGGGCGCAAGCCUGAUCCAGCAAUGCCGCGUGCAGGAAGAAGGCCUUCGGGUUGUAAACUGCUUUUGUACGGAACGAAACGGUCCUGGUUAAUACCUGGGGCUAAUGACGGUACCGUAAGAAUAAGCACCGGCUAACUACGUGCCAGCCGCCGCCGUAAAAC
rnacentral:rRNA from 1 species